rnacentral:snRNA from 1 species
GGUGGUGUGGUUGCUUUCGCACAUGUGAUGGCACAUUGCUGAACAUUGAUCGCAAAACCGUUUUCAGCGUUUUCUUGCGGAUCUGCUCAGUGACCAACCGUCACACACUAUUCUCCCUAAUGGUUGACGUUUAAGGACGUUAUCCCAAUCGAUUCCCGCUGCAAUGGCGACGGGUCAUACGCACGGUUUCUUGGCGCUCUUUACGGGUUCCAAGUUAGAGUCGAUUGGUUAACUUCCAGUCAACCAGCACAUUUCUGGUUAAGUAACUCUUUGGUAGCUUAGCUUCGGAUUUCGUAAAGUUUGUUCAGAACA